GGUUUAAAAUUUAGGGUUUAGGGUUUAGAGUUUAGGGUUUAGGGUUUAGAUUUUAGGGUUUAGGGUUUAGGGUUUAGAGUUUAGGGUUUAAGGUUUAGAGUUGAGAAACGAGGUUUUGGGGAUAAGAUUUCAAAUUUUGAAAAAUUAAAAAAAUUAAAAUUUUCAAAGGAUAAACUUAGAAAUGUGAUAUUUUGGUCAUUUUAGUUUUUGAGUGCUAUUUUUGUGAUAUAAACUUAGAAAAGUGCUAUUUUGGAGAUUUGCCCAAA
rnacentral:lncRNA from 1 species